ACAGUGUUGGUUCAGUGGUAGAAUUCUCGCCUUCCAUGACAGAGACCUGGGUUCAAUUCCUGGCCAAUGUG
rnacentral:tRNA from 1 species